GACGAACGCUGGCGGCGUGCUUAACACAUGCAAGUCGAACGAUGAAGAAAAGAAUCGAAGCUUCGGCAGAAAUUCAUUUCGGAUUAGUGGCAGACGGGUGAGUAACGCGUGAGCAACCUACCUCUCACAAAGGGAUAGCCUCGGGAAACCGGGAUCAAUACCAUAUAACAUUGCGACGAAGCAUUUCGAUGCAAUCACAGCUAUGGCGGUAAGAGAUGGGCUCGCGUCCCAUUAACCGGAUGGUGAGGUAACGGCUCACCAUAGUGACGAUGGGUAACCGGCCAGAGAGGGUGAGCCGUCACACUGGAACUGGGACGCGGUCCAGACUCCUACGGGAGGCAGCGGUGGGGGAUGUUGCCCAGUGGAGGGUACUCUGAUGCAGCGACGCCGCGUGAGUGCUGAAGGAAUUCGUUUCGUAAAUCUCUGUUAUAUGGGAAGAAAAGGACUGUACCAUAGGAGGAAGCACCGGCUAACUACGUG
rnacentral:rRNA from 1 species